rnacentral:rRNA from 1 species
AGCUCCAGUAGCGUAUAUUAAAGUUGUUGCAGUUAAAAAGCUCGUAGUUGGAUUUCUGGCGUGAUGUCUUCUGACCCGCGAUUUAUGUCGUGAGUGUCGGUGAGCAUCUGCCAUCCUUUCAGAAAACCUUUCUACCCUUCACUGGGCCGGAUUGGCGAUCUGGAACUUUUACUUUGAAAAAAUUAGAGUGUUCAAAGCAGGCUUGCGCUAUGAAUACAUUAGCAUGGAAUAAUAAUUUAGGGCUUUGGUUCUAUUUUGUUGGUUUCUAGGAUCGAAGCAAUGAUUGAUAGGGAUAGUUGGGGGUGCUAGUAUUAAGCGGCCAGAGGUGAAAUUCUUGGAUUCGCUUAAGACUAACUUAUGCGAAAGCAUUCACCAAGGAUGUCUUCUUUAAUCAAGAACG